CAAGGAGUUUUUUUAAAAUGGGCUUCACACAUCGUACCCAUGUGGGGAAUCGAACCCCGGUCUUUGGCCUGACGACAGAACGCUUUAGCCAUUGGCCUACCCCACCGCUCCCUU